UACACGACCGUACCGCAAACCGACACUGGUGCGCGAGAUGAGUAUUCUAAGGCGCUUGAGAGAACUCAGGAGAAGGAACUCGGCAAAUUGCCACCGUAACUUCGGAAGAAGGUGUGCCUUUAGUAGGUGAACCUGUACAAGGGGAGCCCAAUGAGGUUGCAAAAAAUCGGUGGCUGCGACUGUUUAAUAAAAACACAGCACUCUGCAAACACGAAAGUGGACGUAUAGGGUGUGACGCCUGCCCGGUGCUGGAAGAUUAAAUGAUGGGGUGCAAGCUCUUGAUUGAAGUCCCAGUAAACGGCGGCCGUAACAAUAACGGUCCUAAGGUAGCGAAAUUCCUUGUCGGGUAAGUUCCGACCUGCACGAAUGGCGUAACGAUGGCCACACUGUCUCCUCCUGAGACUCAGCGAAGUUGAAAUGUUUGUGAUGAUGCAAUCUCCCCGCGGAAAGACGGAAAGACCCCAUGAACCUUUACUGUAGCUUUGUAUUGGACUUUGAACAGAUCUGUGUAGGAUAGGUGGGAGGCUUUGAAGUGUGGUCGCUAGAUCGCAUGGAGCCAACGUUGAAAUACCACCCUGGUGUGUUUGAGGUUCUAACCUAGGCCCGUAAUCCGGGUCGGGGACAGUGCAUGGUAGGCAGUUUGACUGGGGCGGUCUCCUCCCAAAGCGUAACGGAGGAGUUCGAAGGUACGCUAGGUACGGUCGGACAUCGUGCUAAUAGUGCAAUGGCAUAAGCGUGCUUAACUGCGAGACUGACAAGUCGAGCAGAUGCGAAAGCAGGACAUAGUGAUCCGGUGGUUCUGUAUGGAAGGGCCAUCGCUCAACGGAUAAAAGGUACUCUGGGGAUAACAGGCUGAUACCGCCCAAGAGUUCAUAUCGACGGCGGUGUUUGGCACCUCGAUGUCGGCUCAUCUCAUCCUGGGGCUGUAGCCGGUCCCAAGGGUAUGGCUGUUCGCCAUUUAAAGAGGUACGUGAGCUGGGUUUAAAACGUCGUGAGACAGUUUGGUCCCUAUCUUCCGUGGGCGCUGCAGAUUUGAGGAAGCCUGCUCCUAGUACGAGAGGACCGGAGUGGACACACCUCUGGUGUAUCGGUUGUCACGCCAGUGGCAUUGCCGAGUAGCUAUGUGUGGAAGAGAUAACCGCUGAAAGCAUCUAAGCGGGAAACUCGUUUCAAGAUGAGAUCUGCCGGGGCCUUGAGCCCCCUAAAGAGUCGUUCAGACCAGGACGUUGAUAGGUCGGGUGUGGAAGCGCAGUAAUGCGUUAAGCUAACCGAUACUAAUUGCUCGUGCGGCUUGAUC
rnacentral:rRNA from 1 species